UCUAGAACAGAAUACUCAAGACUGCGUAAUUUAUAAAGAAGAGAGAUUUAUUUCGUUUACAAUUCUGGAGGCUAGGAAGUCCAAGAUCAGAUGGCCACAUAUGGUUGUUGGAUUGUACAACUAGAAUUGCAAGUUUAUAUCAACUGGCCCUCCAGCCUAAGAAGUAAGAGGAAGAUACUAAUAACAGAGAGGCUCACAGUGAGGAAAAACGUUUUACUUAUCCACAUCCUAAACACCUGGAUUGGAUUGACUUUUCUUUGUUCAAAAAUUAGUAAAAAGAAAAUACUAAUAUGACAGCUAAGAAAAUAAUUUAUAGUUAAGAGAUGGAGAAUUGAGAUAUAGAAGGGGAGAAUUAUUUGGAAAAAAAAUUUAUUCAAGAAGGA
rnacentral:lncRNA from 10 species